ACUUUACUCUGACCAUGUAAUGAUGAUACAAUUCAUAUUAGUUAAAUAUGGACAAAUAACCGUAAACAACUUCAUAUCCCGACUGACAAAAAUUGUUUGAUACAUAUACAGUAAAUGCAUCAUGAAUGUUAACUGAUAGAGUCCGCAAUUUGACGAUGGAACUUCGCCGUCAAGUCCCUUCAAUGAUAUAUACACCUUCUAAAAUGGACACGCGCCAAAGCCUCUAGUUUAGCACAAGGAAGUUGGCACCAAAACGGUGCGUUUAAGCGCGUGUUUCUCUGUGUGCGGAUCUGCAGAAGUGGAAGAAGAUGCAGUGGUACUUGGUAGCUGCGCUCCUCACCGUUCUCACCAGUUCUCAGGGAAUUUUAACAACCCUCUCGCAAAGCAACGGAGAGUACAAGUAUGAUUACGCCACUGUUCCAUUUCUCGCCGAGGUUUUCAAGCUUGCCGUGUCGAGUUUGUUGCUGUGGAAGGAAUGCCAAAAGUCACCGCCGCCGAAGAUGACGACGGAGUGGAAAACGGUGGCUCUGUUCCCCAUUCCUUCGAUUAUAUAUCUGAUCCACAACAAUGUUCAGUUUGCUACACUCACUUAUGUGGACACUUCCACCUAUCAGAUAAUGGGGAAUUUGAAGAUUGUCACCACUGGAAUACUAUUCAGGCUGUUCUUGGGGAGGAGGCUUUCUAACUUGCAGUGGAUGGCUAUUGUGAUGUUGGCUGUUGGGACAACCACAAGUCAGGUUAGGGGCUGUGGAGAGGCUUCCUGUGAUUCCCUUUUCUCAGCACCAAUUCAGGGCUACAUGUUAGGAAUCCUAUCUGCUUGUCUCUCAGCAUUAGCUGGAAUUUAUACCGAGUUCUUGAUGAAGAAAAACAAUGACAGCUUAUACUGGCAGAAUAUACAGUUGUACACGUUUGGUACAAUUUUCAAUAUGGCACGACUACUUAUGGAUGAUUUCAGAGGUGGAUUUGAAAAUGGGCCCUGGUGGCAACGUAUUUUCAAUGGAUACACUAUCACUACUUGGUUGGUGGUAUUGAAUCUAGGAUCUACUGGUCUUUUGGUUUCGUGGUUAAUGAAACAUGCUGAUAAUAUUGUAAAGGUCUAUUCCACAUCAAUGGCAAUGUUGCUGACAAUGAUAAUUUCGCUAUUUCUAUUCAACUUCAAGCCUACAUUACAGCUUUUUUUGGGCAUUAUUAUUUGUAUGAUGUCUCUACACAUGUAUUUUGCCCCACCAAAUAUGCUCUUGGAUAUGCCAGUAACAGUUAAAUCAGAUGAAGAGAAGCUUAUUGAAGUUUCUGUUGAUCGAAGACCACAUUCAUGAUAUUGUAUUGACAUCCGAGUACAAUGCUUGGGUAAAUGAACAUUUACUUCAGUAUUUCCUUAUAAGGCCUAUUAAAGUCAUUUCUUCUAUAGCAGAAAUGCCGAAUAUUAUUCCGUGCUGCAUUGGUUCAGUGACUUUGUAGAGCAUAGGCAUCUUGGAUGGGUUGACGAUAGCUCUAUGUAGCUAAUUCGGACAUCCCAUGUGUUGUCUGUGUUUAAAUAUAUGAAAGGAGGAUAUUGAAGGAAAAGAUUGUUGAAUGAAAGUGAGCCGGAAAUUAAUUUUUGUCUUUGGCUUUUGGUGAGUCUUUUAACUUCUCUAGCUGGUAGUGAUAGGGGUCAUAACCUUUGACACGAGCACAUGAAGUCAAGCCAGUCACCUAUGUGGUCUAUCUUUCUACCUAGUCAAUGUACCAACUAAACAAUUCUUAACCAUUAAUUAAUUUAAGUAGAGUUUUUUACAGUUUGAUGCUCA